rnacentral:rRNA from 1 species
UAAGUUUCUUGUGAAAUCUUAUAUCUCAAAUAUAAAGAGAGAAAGAAAUACUGCUAAGCUAGAGACUGGAAGACGUAAGAAGUACGUUCGAAGUAGCGGUAAAAUGUGUUAAUCUCAGACGGACUAACAAUAGCGAAGGCAUCUUACGAGGACAGUUCUGACAGUAAGGGAUGAAGGCUAGGGGCGCAAAACGGAUUAGAUACCCGUGUAGUCCUAGCAGUAAACACUGCACACUAAACAUUAGUACCUCCUCGAGAGGUAUUGGUGCUGAAGGGAAGCCGAAGAGUGUGCUACCUGGGAAGUAUAGUCGCAAGGCCGAAACUUAAAGGAAUUGGCGGGG